UAGCUCAGUUGGUAGAGCAGUUGACUUUUAAUCAAUUGGUCGCAGGUUCGAAUCCUGCACGACCCACCAAUCGUUCUGGUGGAACGCGAUAGUAAAACGUGAAGGAUAACGUUGCGUCAGCAACGGCCCGUAGGGCAAGGCGAAGCCGAGUCAUCCUACACGACCCACCG
rnacentral:sRNA from 1 species